GAUAAGUCUGAAGUUAAAGGCUGUGGCUUAACCAUAGUACGCUUUGGAAACUGUUUAACUUGAGUGCAAGAGGGGAGAGUGGAAUUCCAUGUGUAGCGGUGAAAUGCGUAGAUAUAUGGAGGAACACCGGUGGCGAAAGCGGCUCUCUGGCUUGUAACUGACGCUGAGGCUCGAAAGCGUGGGGAGCGAACAGGAUUAGAUACCCUGGUAGUCCACGCCGUAAACGAUGAGUGCUAGGUGUAGGAGGUAUCGACCCCUUCUGUGCCGGAGUAACGCAAUAAGUAUCCCGCCUGGGAAGUACGAUCGCAAGAUUAAACUCAAAGG
rnacentral:rRNA from 1 species